GCCUUCGUGCUGUAGUGGUUAGCACGCUCGACGUGUAACUGAGAGAUCCGCGGUUCGAUUCCCGGCGAAGGAG
rnacentral:tRNA from 1 species